rnacentral:rRNA from 1 species
CGCAUCUGUGCAUGCAGCAUAUCAAUAAGCGGAGGAAAAGAAACUAACAAGGAAUUCCCCUAGUAACGGCGAGUGAAGCGGGAAGAGCUCAAAUUUGAAAUCUUAAAGGGUUUCCCUUUACGAAUUGUAGUUUAAAGAAGUGUUUUCUGUUGAGGUUUUGGUAAAAGUUCUUUGGAAUAGGACAUCAUAGAGAGGUGAGAAUCCCGUAUUUGACCUUUACUUUCAACUUUGUGAUACACUUUCAAAGAGUCGGAUUGUUUGGGAAUGCAGUCCAAAAUGGGUGGUAAAUUUCAUCUAAAGCUAAAUAUUGGCGAGAGACCGAUAGCGAACAAGUACCGUGAGGGAAAGAUGAAAAGAACUUUGAAAAGAGAGUUAAACAGUACGUGAAAUUGUCAAAAGGGAAGCGUUUGACACCAGUGUUGUUUUUCUGAAAAUCAAUUAAAGAACUGUUUAUGCUAAGCUGUUUAGACUUUAUCAGCUAACUGUUUAGUUUUGAGCUUUUCUUUAAUGCACUUUUCAGUUAACAAGUCAACAUCAAUUUCUUUUGCUGUAAAAAAGCUUGAGGAAGGUGGCUUGAGAUUCGUCUUAAGUGUUUAUAGCCUCUUGCCUAUGCAGUCGGAGAGAUUGAGGUCUGCAGCGUAGAUCCUUCGGGCUAAAUGCAUUUGUGCUAAGUUAUAGCAUUUCAUAGACUAACUUGUUGACUAUGACUUUGUCUUGUAGCUUACUCGCUUAUGUUAUUUUACCUACGCUUAGGAUGUUGACAGCAGUAUAGACUGU